rnacentral:rRNA from 1 species
AUUGAACGCUGGCGGCAGGCUUAACACAUGCAAGUAGAGCGGGGUGAUGGUGCUUGCACUAUCACUUAGCGGCGGACGGGUGAGUAAUGCUUAGGAAUCUGCCUAUUAGUGGGGGACAACAUCUCGAAAGGGAUGCUAAUACCGCAUACGUCCUACGGGAGAAAGCAGGGGAUCACUUGUGACCUUGCGCUAAUAGAUGAGACUAAGUCGGAUUAGCUAGUUGGCGGGGUAAAGGCCUACCAAGGCGACGAUCUGUAGCGGGUCUGAGAGGAUGAUCCGCCACACUGGGACUGAGACACGGCCCAGACUCCUACGGGAGGCAGCAGUGGGGAAUAUUGGACAAUGGGAGGAACCCUGAUCCAGCCAUGCCGCGUGUGUGAAGAAGGCCUUAUGGUUGUAAAGCACUUUAAGCGAGGAGGAGGCUCUUUUGGUUAAUACCCAAGAUGAGUGGACGUUACUCGCAGAAUAAGCACCGGCUAACUCUGUGCCAGCCGCCGCCGUAA